rnacentral:rRNA from 1 species
CCGGUCCCAUUCCGAACCCGGAAGUUAAGCCUCUCAGCGUCGAUGGUACUGCACGGGUGACCUUGUGGGAGAGUAGAACGUCGCCGGAC